UGAUACUUUGUAUUGGAUAUGUAGAU
rnacentral:piRNA from 1 species